rnacentral:rRNA from 1 species
UACGUAGGGGGCAAGCGUUGUCCGGAAUCAUUGGGCGUAAAGCGCGUGUAGGCGGCCAGAUAAGUCCGCUGUGAAAUCUCGAGGCUCAACUUCGAGCUGUCGGUGGAAACUGUCUGGCUAGAGUCCGGAAGAGGAGAAUGGAAUUCCUGGUGUAGCGGUGAAAUGCGCAGAUAUCAGGAAGAACACCCGUGGCGAAGGCGGUUCUCUGGGCCGAUACUGACGCUGAGGAGCGAAAGCGUGGGGAGCGAACAGG